rnacentral:lncRNA from 1 species
AAAUAUGCAUGAUUUAAAAUCAUUUGACAUUAAAUUAAAUAUGCAUGAUUUUGGAAAAUAGUUUUAUGAGAGAAGCCAUGUUACGAGUCAAGUUGUCGGAUCAAGAUCACAAUUAAGAAUGACUCAAUUAAACUAUAAAACUUGUCUUAAGCUUGAAUCUUGAUGUAUAUCAAUUGUGCGCUUGUUUCUUAAACUUCGUCAUAUAUCAAUUUUCGCUUCGUUUGUCAUUCAUCAAAACCUAUACAAAAGAACACACGUUUUAGUAUAUUGCAUUGAGAACGUGUUUCCNNN